GGCCCUGAGUACAGUGGCGCACGGGUGAGUAACACGUGAAUUAUCUACCUCCGAGUGGGGAAUAACCUAGAGAAAUCUGGGCUAAUACCGCAUAACACUUACGAGUCAAAGCAGCAAUGCGCUUGGAGAGGAGUUCGCGGCCGAUUAGCUAGUUGGCGGGGUAAUGGCCCACCAAGGCGAUGAUCGGUAUCCGGCCUGAGAGGGCGCACGGACACACUGGAACUGAAACACGGUCCAGACUCCUACGGGAGGCAGCAGUGGGGAAUUUUGCGCAAUGGGGGAAACCCUGACGCAGCAACGCCGCGUGGAGGAUGAAAUCCCUUGGGAUGUAAACUCCUUUCGAUCGGGACGAUUAUGACGGUACCGGAAGAAGAAGCCCCGGCUAACUUCGUGCCAGCAGCCGCGGUAAUACGAGGGGGGCAAGCGUUGUUCGGAAUUAUUGGGCGUAAAGGGCGCGUAGGCGGUUUGACAAGUCUGAUGUGAAAUCUAUGGGCUCAACCCAUAGCCUGCAUUAGAAACUGUCGGGCUUGAGUAUGGGAGAGGUGAGUGGAAUUUCCGGUGUAGCGGUGAAAUGCGUAGAUAUCGGAAGGAACACCUGUGGCGAAAGCGGCUCACUGGACCAUAACUGACGCUGAGGCGCGAAAGCUAGGGGAGCAAACAGGAUUAGAUACCCUGGUAGUCCUAGCCCUAAACGAUGAUU
rnacentral:rRNA from 1 species